CUCAGAGUCCAGGGGCAGAGCUCAGUGAGGCUGUGCCCCCUGCCCACCUCUGGCCAGGACCCCCUGUCCUGCUUUGCGUCUCUAAGCCCAGGCCAAGACAAACAAAGGAAGGAAGUGUCUGGGACUUUUAAAGCGACCUAGUGGAGACAGGGCUGGGAAUGGGAGCAGCAAGGAGCCUUCUGUGGGGCAGCAGUCAGGAGUGGCUCCCCUCUGGCUGUGGCACCUCUGGCUGACUCUGCGAGGAAGCCAGGCCUGUCCCCAGCCUGGUAAGCAAUGCUCUUUCCUGGUACAACAUCCCUGAUCCCUCAUGCCUGUAGAACAGGAUUGCUACAACAUCGUCCCAGCUGACAGAUUUAAAAUACCAGGCUUAACCUUGCCUGUACAGGGUUAAUUUCCCUCUCAGGAUUUUGGUUUCUCUCUGGAGUCAUCUGUUUGGUGACUCCACAGGUUCCCUCAGUGAAUCCCUCUGGGAACAU